rnacentral:rRNA from 1 species
UACGUAGGGUGCAAGCGUUGUCCGGAAUUAUUGGGCGUAAAGAGCUCGUAGGCGGUUUGUCGCGUCUGCUGUGAAAACUCGGGGCUUAACUCCGGGCCUGCAGUGGGUACGGGCAGACUAGAGUGCGGCAGGGGAGACUGGAAUUCCUGGUGUAGCGGUGAAAUGCGCAGAUAUCAGGAGGAACACCGGUGGCGAAGGCGGGUCUCUGGGCCGAUACUGACGCUGAGACGCGAAAGCGUGGGGAGCAAACAGG